CGGGAUAGCCUAAUGGACAGGCACUCGACUUCGACUCGAGACGUCAACGGCUUCCCCACUCGGGCGUUUCAAUUUUUCUCUGACGAAUUCGCGUCCGGCCGAAGAGGCCAUACAAGCACUUGGGAACCUGAAGCCGCCGGUUCGAAUCCGGCUCUCCCGA
rnacentral:tRNA from 1 species